rnacentral:sRNA from 1 species
AAGGAUGAGAAGCUUCGACUAAGGUUCGACUCGAGCGCCAGCGAGAAAACGUUGCCGCAGGCAACGGCCCGAAGGGCGAGGCGCUUUAGCGCCGAGUAAUCCUUCCCCCACCACCA